UGUCCUUAGUACGAGAGGACCGGGAUGGACGUACCGCUGGUGUACCAGUUGUCUCGCCAGAGGCACGGCUGGAUAGCCAAGUACGGCAGGGAUAAGCGCUGAAAGCAUCUAAGCGUGAAGCCCCCCUCAAGAUGAGAUUUCCCAGUAAGUAAGACCCCUUGUAGACGACGAGGUAGAUAGGUUCGGGGUGGAAGCGCGGCAACGUGUGGAGCUGACGAAUACUAAUCGGUCGAGGGCUUAUCCUA
rnacentral:rRNA from 1 species